rnacentral:lncRNA from 1 species
AGUAAGUUCCUCCUUGUGAAAGUCCCAAGACCUUCCGGAGCCACCAGCCGGCAUAUAUUCAAACCUCAACAGAUACCAUAGGAAUGAUCCUUCCCCCAAAUUCCAGGGAUUUAACUAUGGAAAUGGGAAAGCAGGAUCCAAUUGGAACUAGACUGAAAUAAACUUGCUAUUACCUAAUAAAGUAAAGGAAAUAGAGAUUAAAAGCACAUAUAAUUUUUAAAAGAUGCCAUGUCACUUGAACAUUUGGGAUUAUGGAGUAACAUUAUCUGCUUGGCAUUUCUUUCUUUUUUUUUUUUUUUUUUUUCUAUUUGAUUCCGUGUCUGAUUUUUUUUUAAUUGUUCUUUUGUGUUACUACCAUGCUGGGUUUUUUUUUCCCCACAUUUUUUUUAUUAGAUAUUUUCUUCUUAGAUUAAGGUUACUUAGAAUUUUGAGCUCUGAUGCUUUCAAGCUAACGUUACAUCACAGGCUUUCUGUCAUGCCAUUAUUCUCACCUUUUAUCGAGAAAUAGCUCCCUGGCCCCUAUGUUUCUUCCCCCUUCAGCUAGAAAUCAAAAGCCCUCUUCUAAAUAUAAAUUCAUGUCAAUAAAACACCUACAGACCAACACACCC